AGGGUACAUAUAGAUAAACGUCCAUUAAAAAAAAAAAAUUGAAAAAAACAUGAAAACUAAUUCAGCAUCUACUUCCUUGUUGGACAGCGCCAUACUAAUUGUGGUACUGUAUGUGGUUCUUAAUUGCGGCGAGGCACAUAUUUCAGACGAGAAAAUUCUUAAGCCAUACCACCAAACAAAAACGGCACAAAAGGUGUCAAACUCAAGGCACGGGGACCAUAUCUGGGGCCCCACGUGAUUUUAUGUGGCCUGCGAAGGACAUCUGAUAAUAAGCCAAUCACAGGUUCUGAUGGAGACGGAAGAAUGAUAAGAGCAGCAUCCCGCCCUGCAGGGAACGAGGCUGAGUACCGCUCCUAUCAGUGUCAGCUGAGGGGAAUGUGGGAAAGAUUACGUGGAGAGUGACGAGAGUGACGCUUCUCAUCAUGAAGAAAAUGCAAGGAUUUUUUUUGGGGUGUGUUUUAAAUGAUGACCGAUGCCACGGAACGAAUCAAACUUCUAUCUCAAGACAACACUGACUGUACUGCAAUACUGGGCCGUUUGGAAAUGGGUCUGGCAGAGAGUCAGCGAGGAGGUCUUAAGUGGAGAGAAGAGGAGGAAUGGAGCGUGCGUGCGUCUCGUCCUUUGCCGCUUUGAUGGAUUUUGCAAGCACGUAUCCACUCGCCCGAGCUGGAGUGCGCAGCUGUCAUGGCUGCCCCGCCAAACAAGGAGACAGACCGAAGGGGGUUCCUUUUGACGGAGGCCAAGACUCGAGUCUCUAGUGCCAGUGCACACAGCUUUGAUUAUGUAAGUGGGAGAUGAAAGAGGAGGUGGAGAAAACAAAUGAAAGAAGGCAAACGGAGUGACAAACAGCCCGGUGGGCGGAAAGAUGUGGACAGAAAAGGAAGUUGGGGAGAGGAGUCUGACUCAUUCCCUCAGUUCUUGCUGCGGGAAUUAGUUGAGAGCCGUGUAGGGCAAAGCUUGCAACCCCUGAAAGCAAAAUUUUCCUCCUGAGAUGUGGAAGACAGAAAAAACAUCAUUUUCAUCGUCAACAUUUUUUUAUUCCUGUUCAUUCUCACUGGCUUAGCUCAAUAAACAAAGUUGGAUUAUUUGUGGUUAAGAUCUACAAUUUUCCGCAGCACAGAGGUCGGGACCUACUGGGCUAAUCAACCUUUGAGUUUCAACCGGUCAAGCAGGGCUGGUUUGGAGCGCAAGAUUCCAUGCAA